GCUCCCACCCCUCGAUUCUCGCUGGUUUUCCUCUCCCCACUUCACCUGAGCGGGUUUCUUGGCAACCUGCUUUUAGACCAUCCCCCACCGCUUCCCCGCGUCACCGUGACAGCUUCGCAGGAGGCAGCGCUCCCGCCGUCAGUGCCCCCGCACCUUCUUGUGCCUGGCAGGCUGGGAGGUCCGAGAGCACCCGAAUUGCUAGCAGGAGAGGGCUAGGGACACGGCGGACUUCCCAGAGAUCGGACACUUGUUGCUUGUUGAAAAGGCGCCACCUUCCCUGCCAAAGCGAAGGCGCAGCGAAACAGUCCAGAGAGGAUACUUUUCGACGGCGGUGGGUUCGAAGAUGACCCAAGCCCUGAAUCGUUCUGUGACUUGACGGAAGAGCGCCUCGCCGAGUCCGGGAAGGAAACUGCCUCUCUUGGGCAUUCGGGGUCCAGGGGCAUCUGGGGCUCCAGAGAUCUUUGCCCACGUGGAAAGGGCAACAUACUCCUCCGAAAGGCCGGCCUCUCUCCAGUUCUACUUUUCUCUCUCCUCGCAUAGCUUAGGCUCUCUCUAGUCUUUCCACUUUCUACUCUCACCCCUUGCUCUGGGGUCCAGACGCACCCCUCUGACUAGGGCACCCUUCAGCCAGCCGCACCGCCCGCGACGCAGGCACCACCCGCUCCCUCCUUCCCUCGGCCCGCUCCCUCACUUACCUCGGAUCGGGUCUCCGCAGACCCCAGGUUGGACAUUAACUUCAGGUGCCCCAAGUCCCAGCCAGGAGACCCAUCCGGGCUGAUGGCUGGAGCGCGGAGCCCCGCCCAACAGGUCAGGGGCAAGAGUUCGCAAUCCUGGGGUCGCGCGGGGCAGCAAGAGCGCCCUGGAGGCGGCAGCCAAGACUCCCGCCUCGGUCGCCGCGAACAGCGCGAGGGCUGCCGACAACUCUCUCGCCUGCCCCCCGCACCCCCAGAAGCCGAGGUCCGAGCAGCCGCCGCUGCUUUGGGUGGGGGGGAGGUGACAGGGCUGCGCACGCCGCGCUCUUGGCUGGGGCUGCGCGGGCCCGGGGCGCUGCGGGCUGCUCAGCUGCAGCUGCGGCGCUCUGCGCCUCCUCUGGGCGCACUGCCUGGGAGCACAAGACGGGCUUGUCUGAUGCUGCCGCGGGAGCUGAGGUCUUGCCUGGAGAUCCGAAUGAGACACCACGUCAACCGGCGCGGGGAGUCCCGUGAAGACAUGAGGGCGCCAGGAGCGCAGGCUGGUCUUUUAGAGCCCGGGCUGGGGGGCCGGGAGCCGGGGUGGGGGAGGGGAGGCGCAGGGCCCCCGGGAGGGAGGGGUCGGGAGGCGUCGGCUGGGCCGGGCUGUGUGGGAGGAGAGGCCAGCAGCGAGGAGGCGCUGGAGUUCCCGAGGCCGGGGUCCGGGGUGGGAGUGGGCUACGCAAGGCGCCCCUCCCUGGGCUGCAGGAAUAGCGCUGAGAGCGUGGAGACGCCGCGGGGCUUGCGCCUUCUCCUCCGGGUGGAUCAAAAAUCGGCAGGAAUGUGCGCCGCGCUGCGCUGGCUAGCCGAGGGGGGCAAUCCGAACUUGACCGCGGCGCCCGCGCAGGGCUUCGCCCCCGCGCGCCGCACUGGAUGGAAGGCGCUCUGCCGGUGCAGCGCCGCGCCGGGCUUUCCUCGCGCCUGUCGAAGGCCGGCCUUCCCGCUCGGUUGUCUCGUCCUCUCGCUUCUCCGCAGGGCAGGAGGCAGCGGCGAGAAAAGGAGCUGCUGGGCAGCUGGAGUUCUAGCACCGAGAAGGAGAGGCGCGGAGCGGCCGGCCACGUGUCUCCGAAAAGCCUUCCGGAAAGGCCACCCAGCCAGGCCUCACGAAAACUGGAUUGAAGUUCAGGAACUGGAAGGUCAUUCAGGAUACAGCUCUGUGACUGGGUUAUCUUGCUGCCCCCUCAGCAGCAGUCAUCUGCCGAUCCCUACUAACAGGCUUAGCCGCCAAGGUGAUUCAGCUCCUCUCUCGCUGUUUUUCCCUGGGUGUCCUUUGGCUUCUGCUCCUGCUACCAACUGCUCAGCUCUCAGUUGA
ensembl:lincRNA